rnacentral:rRNA from 1 species
AGUGAACGCUGGCGGUAGGCCUAACACAUGCAAGUCGAACGGCCGCAUAGUAAGAGCUUGCUCUUACGGGAGGCGCGUGGCGGACGGGUGAGGUAUACUUCGGAAUAUACUUUUUCGUGGGGGCUAACGUCGGGUAUCUUCCGCUAAUACCACAUACGACCUACGGGUGAAAGCCGGGGAUCUUCUGACCUUGCGCUAAUGAAUGAGCCGAUGUCGGAUUAGCUCGUUGGCGGGGUAAAGGCCCACCACGGCGACGAUCCGUCGCGGGUCUGACAGGAUGAUCAGGCAGACUGGAACUGAGACACGGUCGAGACUCCUACGGUAGGCAGCGGUGGGGAAUACUAGAGGAUGGGCGCAAGCCGGAUCCAGCGCAACCGCGGAGGUGAAGAAGGCCUUCGGGUGGGAAAACCCUGUUGUUGUGAAAGAAGAGCAGCAGUUUAAUACCGCGCUGUUCUGACGGUACCCAAAGAAUAAGCACCGGCUAACUUCGUG